GGCGUAGCUCAGUUUGGUAGAGUGCUUGCUUUGGGAGCAAGAUGCCGCAGGUUCGAGUCCUGUCGCCU
rnacentral:tRNA from 2 species